rnacentral:lncRNA from 1 species
UUCUUUGUUCUUUAAUCUCAAGGCUAACCCGGGGGUUUCGCCACAUUAACUUGCUUCACAUUAAGUCCAUCAUCGCAGGAACUCACCCGCUAGGACCGUCCUUCGGGUCUACUCCAACCCGUGAUGCAUAACUCCGGAGCGCAUCGCCCGAGGGGGAGCGACCGCCCUUGAGCACGGAACUCAUAGCAAGCAUGAUCGAAAUCCUUAACUCAAAGGAUUGUAUGUUCAAUCUUGACUUUACACUAACUCUAGUGUUCAUUACAUCACUUUAUGUUACCACUCUAGCAAUCAUUGCUCUUUGCAUUUCUUUUACUUUUGCUAACUCUAGCUGUCACGCCCCGGGACCGGCGGAGGCCCUCCCGGUAGCGUGUCCAGACCCGCCAUAUGUCUACACAUAUAAGGCGUCUACAAUAAAAGCGGAAGNAUGAAGGUAUCUCGAAAUGGCUUCUCAAUAUGCAUCAACCACUUCUCAACAAUCCAGUGGUCGACGUUCUCGCCAUCGAAGAUCCUCGGGCUGCACCUCCUGAACUCACUUACGCGAUCCAUGAGCCGAUCCCGCUCGGCUCCCUCAGCCAUCACAGGGAAAGCUGCCCUCGCAGCGGGUAUCUGAACCGGUGGUGCUGCGACCACUUCCUCCCGAGGCGCGGUUGCUGGUGCUGCACGCGAAGAACUGGGUGCCGAGGAUUGCGCCCUCGACGCGACGUCCACUACGGGUGCUGGCGGUGUGGGGACCUAAGUCUCCCUAGAAGCUGCUGCCUGCUAUAGCAAGAAAUCCUCCAGAUGCUUCAUCCGCGCCUCCUGCCGCUAUGCCAUCUCGGCCUGUCGCCGAGCGGCCGCCGCCUGCUGUGCUACAAGGUCAAUGAGGACUGCAAGCUGGGACCUCAAGUCACGGACCUCGCUGGAUUCGGAAGUCGCGAAGGUUUCGACCUCCUCGAGGGGUGCCGCAUUGUCCGCUCCGGCCGAUUGGGAGCGUUUAAUCGGCAUCGCCACUACAGAACAUAAAAGUGCAAGUUAGUAACCCGCACUAUCGAAUCCCCGCUCAAUUAACAAAACCCAAAUCACGCGAAAGUAAGGAAGUGUUAUCCACAACUAACUCCCGAUGUUAUGUUGUCGGCCGCCAACGUAACCCUCCGCGAAGUUAGAAGCUGUACACUCCGGUCAAACUCUAACUUUUUAGAGUUGUCAUCAAACCCAAUCACAAUACUUUCGCUCACAAGUCAUUAGUCCUCGUCUCUCACGAGCCUAAUUCCUAUAGUCCAACCGGCCUAAGAUUCGCUAGGUCCACUAAGACUCAACCUUAGGCUCUGAUACCAAAUUAAUCUGUCACGCGCCGGGACCGGCGGAGGCCCUCCCGGUAGCGCGCCCAGACCCGCCAUAUGUUUACACAUAUAAGGCGUCAAGAAUAGAAGCGGAAAUAAAAGCAAGAAAUAUAGCCGAAAGGAAAUAGCAAAACUAAUGAUAUCAGAGCAGUAUGAUUCUAACAUCUCUAACAACAAGAAAAGAAACAUAACUGAACAAUAAAGGUAACCAUGAAGUAGUACAAUAUCGGCCUCAAAGUACAAAACGGGUGAUCUCUAAUACAUUGGUACAACUCUCAAUCUCUCACAAAAAGAAAUAAAGAGAGGUGGGCCACCUAUAGAAUGAUCCCUCGGCGAAGAACACUAACCCGAGGCGAUACCCUUUCCGCGAUCCCUUGCCUCCCCCUGCGUGGAAGGCUCUGAAAAAUAUCGAGAAAAAGAGGGCGUGAGAACUAUAAUAUAUAGUUCCCAGUGGCCAAUUACUGACCUCAGCUCGUUGCACCACUAGGCCCCAAGAGGAAAGGGGUAAGUACUAUAAGCAAUGAUAAUAAAGAUAACUGCAAUAAGAAAGCAUAAUGGAAUGCUAAGCUACUAUAUCUCAAGUAAACAGGAUUUAAGUAGGAUGUACAUCUACUCUAUCAUAAGGAAAGGUAACCAAUGGCAAUAGUUAAAUGUCAUUAACCUUUAUCAAUACAUAAUGUUGCAGUUCUAAUAUGGCAACCACGUAUACUACACGUCUCACACUAUGCUAAAAGCAUGUAAUGUAACCCGACUACUAAGUCUAUCUAGUAGUGAUCAUUCAUCCUCAACCCCGUGUCGAUUUCCAUUUCCAAUUAAGGACCUACCAAAUGUAGUCCAGCUUGUGCCGCCUAAGUGUCUGUGGUAGCCCGACAUCCCUCCUCUUGGAAUGUGUCUGUCCCACUCGACCCCGUAGGCUUCUCAAUACCGCACGAGCGAACAUAGUCGCGUAGGCUAACUCCGGAGUGCCGGCUUGUAGGGAGCGACCCUCACAAGCGUGUGCGAAUGAGCACAAAUGGCAAGCAAGCAUAGUCCAAGUCUCAAUUUUCAAUCCUCAUGUCUCUAACAUGGUAUCAUAACUAGCAUCCCGAAGAUCUAGUCUAAGUCACAAUGUGAAGUUUCAACAGUUGCUACGCCUAGUGCCCCUUGAUGACACUUAGGCAAUUUGAUGUUCAACACGUUUUCCAAAUCCCUCAAUGGCCCUAUCCACUAGGUUCUCACAAGUCCUGAGCUCAAUGCCGCUUGAUGACAUUAGCUCUCCAAUUCACAUGAUAUCAAGUUCGAUGCCUAUAAUUGUAGCAAUUGUCAUCUUUCAUGUCCCAAUUAAACUUAUGUUUAAACGCAUGAAUCGUAGGUCAUUUACUCUCUAGAACCAUGAAAUCAAACCUCAUAUAGAAUGCUAAAUGCAACCAAAGAUCUCUCUACUACAUAGAGGUCCAAAAAUUCAUCAUAUAUAACUUAUGCAUUUUAAGCAUUCUAAAAAUCAUAAUAAAUACAUUUAACAUGAAAAUGCAUGAAUUAUUAGUAAACAAAGCACUUAUCACCAAAUAUGAGAUUUUCUCAUAUUAUAGGCUAGGUCAAACCCACCGACGACAACGAAGCUUUUCGUUUGCUCCAACGGAGGUUUCUACAAGCUUUCUAGCACCCUAGGAACAUCAAAAAGAGUGUCAUCCAAACGAAACGGAGAGCGAAAAGCUCAAACAUUAAGCAUCUAGCAAAAAUGGGCAAAACUCACCUCAAGAGAAGAAAUCUCUUCCUAUGCUCCAAAAGAGAGCUAGAACCCUUCCAAUCUAACCUAGAGGAAGGUUCUAAUCCAACCAAUUGAGCUUCAAAAGCCCUAAAACGAAAAUGCCCAAAAUAAACCCUAAAAUCCCAAAUCUAGGGUUUCAUCUCAAUGAAACCUUUAAAAACCAAGAUUAGAGGAAAGGGUCUUGCCACUUACCUCUUAGAAGCCUCAAAAUCAGCUCAAAGUUCUCAAACUUCUAGUAUCUUCCCUCAAUCAAACACCAAACCCAAGCUCCAAGCUUCAAAAAUGGAGGAAAUAGCUCCAAAAGGGAAAAAGAGGGGAAAACCCAUCAAAAACCAAGCAAAAAGGUGCUCAAAACCAAAGGGAAGAGAAGAGGUCCUUCCUACCUUGCUUCUCCACGGUUUCCAGCUCAGGGAGAGCUCCAUGGGGCGUGGGGACACAUAUAAGAGUCCACAAAUGCGAAAAACCCCCUGCAGUUUCGAACAGUUCAAAAAUCUGCACUGCGUACCGGUACACGGGCCCGCGUACCGGUACACCAUCUGCGAAAACGCCCAGCCCGAGCCUCGGGUUGGCUGAGAAGCGGCCAAAGUCGAUGGCUGUACCGGUACAGCCAUCACUCCCGUACCGGUACACAGCCCUCUGAAGGCAACCCGAGAGCUAACCAAAAAUCCGAUUUUUCGGGUUUUCGUGCUCGGCUUUAAACCUCACUUCUCGGGAUGCGAGCCAUAGGUCGGAACACUGUCAACGACCCACCAGAAAAUCUGGAAUUGCUCAGCACACAGCUCGAACACUCGAACCUCGCAAUUUGCAAAGGUCCAGUGUGUUACCUAGCCCGUAGGUUUCGCCCUCACAAACUCACCAACCCAAAUCCCUAUUGUCGGGGAGAUAACCGCUACGACCCGACGGGACCGCCCUCUGGGGAGAUAACUGCUACGACCCAGUGAUGACAACUCCGGAGCACAUCGCCCGAGGGGGAGCUAUCGCCCUCGAGCAAGGACUAUUAGGUGAGUACGAUCAAUCCUUAACUUUAAGGAUUCCAAGUUCAAUCCAUUCCUUGACUUUAAGAAGAACCGCGUUCAUAUGACCCUUAACUCUAAGGUGAAUAUGUCAUACUGUCACUAACCCAAUUAACUUGCAUUCUCUAACCUCUACUAGUGUCAUGUACACUACUUGUUCUUGUUCCUUGUCAUUGAUGCCACACUUGUUUUCUAAGUGCUAUGUUCUUGUACUCAUGCCACACUCUAUGCCUAUGUCAACAUGUCACAUUUGUUUACUAACCCUUCUAGGUUCUUGUCCCUUGUCAUGCAUAUAUAGGGUUACCAAUUCUCAUUCAUUCACUACAAUUUCUCAAGCAUUAGAACUCAUAUCAUGCAAUGAAAAUUUACAAUUAACCCUGCUAUGCAACAUGCUCAAUAUAAAUACAUAUGC